ACAGAGUACAGCAACAUAGACUUGGUAGAAAUUUAUAUCUGUGAUCACAUAGUGCUAGUUCAGUUACUGUCCAAAAAUAUAGAUAGGUAGCAAGCAAACCAAACCAAGUUUCCAAAGGCAGCUGCUUUAACUUAUCGAUUUUUACAGCCUUGACCAUCUGUUUGGAAGCCCAAUCAAAGGGUUGUGCUGGAUCGGCCACAAGGUAAAAGCAACUAGUACGCAAGCUUGCAGAUUUCUUCUUUCUAAAAGUGAACUUUUCAUAGGCAUUUUUGGACAACACAUGCCCAGUAACAGUAAUUUGCUUUGUUGGAGUUGUUUUUAUUCUCAGAUCACCAUCUAGUAAGCGGGCAACACUGCACAGAGAAGUCAAUCUUCAACAACAUUCACGAGUUCAUAUUCAAUCAGUGAUAGGUUGUUAUCCUCCUUCACAGUGAAACUGGCAGGUUCAGUUACUUCAACACGUCC
rnacentral:misc_RNA from 1 species